UGGGGAAUUUUGGACAAUGGGGGCAACCCUGAUCCAGCCAUUCCGCGUGCAGGAUGACGGUCCUAUGGAUUGUAAAGCUCUUUUGGCGGGGACGAUAAUGACGGUACCCGGAGAAGAAGCUCCGGCUAACUUCAUGCCAGCAGCCGCGGUAAUACGAAGGGGGCUAGCGUUGUUCGGAUUUACUGGGCGUAAAGCGCGUGUAGGCGGGUCGUUAAGUUGGGGGUGAAAUCCCGAGGCUCAACCUCGGAACUGCCUUCAAAACUGGCGACCUGGACCUAAGUAGAGGCAAGUGGAAUUGCGAGUGUAGAGGUGAAAUUCGUAGAUAUUCGCAGGAACACCAGUGGCGAAGGCGACUUGCUGGACUUAUGGUGACGCUGAGACGCGAAAGCGUGGGGAGCAAACAGGAUUAGAUACCCCCGUAGUCCCUGAGCGGGCUGGCAAGGCGCAU
rnacentral:rRNA from 1 species